rnacentral:rRNA from 1 species
AUUGAACGCUGGCGGCAGGCCUAACACAUGCAAGUCGAGCGGAGCGGCGGACGGGUGAGUAAUGCCUAGGCAUCUGCCUGGUAGUGGGGGAUAACGUCCGGAAACGGGCGCUACUACCGCAUACUCUCAGAUGAGCCUCGGUCGGGUUAGUUGGUUGGUGGGGUAACGGCCUACCAAUGGGACGAUCCGUAACUGCUCUGAGAGGAUGAUCAGUCACACUUGAACUGAUACACGGUCCAGACUCCUACGGGAGGCAGCAGUGGGGAAUAUUUGACAAUUGGCGAAAGCCUGAUCCAGCCAUGCCGCGUGUGUGAAGAAGGUCUUCGGAUUGUAAAGCACUUGAAGUUGGGAGGCGUUACCAACAGAAUAAGCACCGGCUAACUUCGUGCCAGCAGCCGCGGUAAUUC